AGGAACUUAGGCUAACUUAGACCAAGAGCCUUCAAAGCUCACAGCAGAAGUUAAAAUCUUCUAGUUUCUA
rnacentral:tRNA from 1 species